AGGAGACAAACGUUAUCCGGAGUUACUGGGCGUAAAGGGCGUGCAGGCGGUCUGUUAAGUCUGGCGUGAAAGCUCUCGGCUAAACCGGGAGAGGUCGUUGGAUACUGACGGACUAGAGGACGGUAGAGGCGUGUGGAAUUCCGGGUGUAGUGGUGAAAUGCGUAGAGAUCCGGAGGAACACCAGUGGCGAAGGCGACACGCUGGGCCGUACCUGACGCUAAGACGCGACAGCAUGGGGAGCGAACGGG
rnacentral:rRNA from 1 species